AUUGAACGCUGGCGGCAGGCCUAACACAUGCAAGUCGAACGAGUGGCGGACGGGUGAUUAAUAUCUGGGAAACUGCCCGAUGGAGGGGGAUAACUACUGGCAGCGGUAGCUAAUCCCGCAUACCGUCGAGUGUGCCCUGAUGGGAUUAGCUAGUAGGUGGGGUAACGGCUCACCUAGGCGCCGAUACCUAGCUGGUCUGAGAGGAUGACCAGCCACACUGGAACUGAGACACGGUCCAGACUCCUACGGGAGGCAGCAGUGAGGAAUAUUGCACAAUGGGCGGAAGCCUGAUGCAGCCAUGCGGCGUGUGUGAAGAAGGCCUUCGGGUUGUAAAGCAUUUUCAGCGGGGAGGCGUUACCCGCAGAAGAAGCACCGGCUAACUCCGUGCCAGCAGCCGCGGUAAUAC
rnacentral:rRNA from 1 species